UAGGAGCGAGGCUUGCCCGCGAUUGAACGAUAACGCGGUGUCCCAGACAGUCCGCGUCGCGCCCAUCGCGGGCAAGCCUCGCUCCUA
rnacentral:misc_RNA from 1 species